CCUACGGGUGGCAGCAGUGGGGAAUAUUGCACAAUGGGGGAAACCCUGAUGCAGCGACGCCGCGUGAGUGAAGAAGUAAUUCGUUAUGUAAAGCUCUAUCAGCAGGGAAGAAAAUGACGGUACCUGAGUAAGAAGCCCCGGCUAACUACGUGCCAGCAGCCGCGGUAAUACGUAGGGGGCACGCGUUAUCCGGAUUUACUGGGUGUAAAGGGAGCGUAGACGGCAGUGCAAGUCUGGAGUGAAAGGCGGGGGCUCAACCGGUAGCCGCACUCAAAACUGCAGUUCUUGAGUGAAGUAGAGGCAGGCGGAAUUCCUAGUGUAGCGGUGAAAUGCGUAGAUAUUAGGAGGAACACCAGUGGCGAAGGCGGCCUGCUGGGCUUUUACUGACGCUGAGGCUCGAAAGUGUGGGGAGCAAACAGGAUUAGAUACCCUUGUAGUC
rnacentral:rRNA from 1 species